rnacentral:rRNA from 1 species
AGGGUUUGAUCAUGGCUCAGAAUGAACGCUGGCGGCGUGCUUAACACAUGCAAGUCGAACGAUGAAGCCUAGCUUGCUAGGUGGAUUAGUGGCGCACGGGUGAGUAAUAUAUAGAUAACGUGCCUCUUAGUCUGGGAUAGCCAUUGGAAACGAUGAUUAAUACUGGAUACUCCUUCUCUUUAUAAUAAGAGUUGGGAAAGUUUUUCGCUAAGAGAUCGGUCUAUAUCCCAUCAGCUUGUUGGUAGUGUAAGAGACUACCAAGGCAAUGACGGGUAGCGGGUUUGAGAGGAUGAUCCGCCACACUGGUACUGAGACACGGACCAGACUCCUACGGGAGGCAGCAGUGAGGAAUAUUGCACAAUGGAGGAAACUCUGAUGCAGCAACGCCGCGUGGAGGAUGACGCAUUUCGGUGUGUAAACUCCUUUUAUAUGUCAAGAAAAUGACGGUAGCAUAUGAAUAAGCACCGGCUAACUCCGUGCCAGCAGCCGCGGUAAUACGGAGGGUGCAAGCGUUAUUCGGAAUCACUGGGCGUAAAGGACACGUAGGCGGGAAGCCAAGUCUGAUGUGAAAUCCUAUGGCUCAACCAUAGAACUGCAUUGGAAACUGGUUACCUAGAGUAUGG